GUAAAAGUCGUAACAAGGUUUCCGUAGGUGAACCUGCGGAAGGAUCAUUACCUAGAGUUGUAGGCUUUGCCUGCUAUCUCUUACCCAUGUCUUUUGAGUACCUUACGUUUCCUCGGUGGGUUCGCCCACCGAUUGGACAAACUUAAACCCUUUGCAGUUGAAAUCAGCGUCUGAAAAAACUUAAUAGUUACAACUUUCAACAACGGAUCUCUUGGUUCUGGCAUCGAUGAAGAACGCAGCGAAAUGCGAUAAGUAGUGUGAAUUGCAGAAUUCAGUGAAUCAUCGAAUCUUUGAACGCACAUUGCGCCCCUUGGUAUUCCAUGGGGCAUGCCUGUUCGAGCGUCAUUUGUACCUUCAAGCUCUGCUUGGUGUUGGGUGUUUGUCUCCUGUAGACUCGCCUUAAAACAAUUGGCAGCCGGCGUAUUGAUUUCGGAGCGCAGUACAUCUCGCGCUUUGCACUCAUAACGACGACGUCCAAAAGUACAUUUUUACACUCUUGACCUCGGAUCAGGUAGGGAUACCCGCUGAACUUAAGCAU
rnacentral:rRNA from 1 species